rnacentral:lncRNA from 1 species
GUUUGGUCAUUAAAAAACCAAAAAAAAUGAAUGUGGUCACAAAAUCUCUCUCUCACACGACUACAAAAUUACGUUCUGUUUCCCUAUAUUGAUCAUAUUUGGUUGUGCUUCGGAUUUUUUGGGUAAUUCCUAAACAAAUUUUUCAAAUUUUCAUUCUCUUUCCACAAAUUUGUGCUCCUGGCUUGCUUUGUGGGAUGGAGAAAUGUUGUGUGAUCGAGAGCAAUUAUGCAUGUUGCUGUACUACUAGCUGGAGCAGGUGAGAGAUUUCAUGCUUCUAGGUGAGUACUCCGCACUGAAUUAUUUAUAUGAUUGCUCUAUUGACUUGUGCUUGAUAUAUUGUUCUCCAUUUUUAUGCUUUGACAAUAGAAAUUGAGUUAUCUUCUUUCUCAAAUGUCAAUUGAUCAUAUAAUAUCAGCGUUCGUGCUGAUUUCUAAGAUCAACAAGCUAUCAUAUAGAGUUUAUAGUAUGUGCCAUCAUUUCACUCUCACCAUUUGAUAUAUCCAUCUUCAAGGGGGUGUUCAUUGGUCUUGGGCGUGGAAGCAUCGAUCAUAGACAUGUUUUCUAUGUUGUAUUCCCUCUUGUUCAUGUCAUUGUGCAACAUAAACCUAUGUAUUGAGUGAUUUUCUAUAUUAGAAACCUAAUUAACUAGAAAUCUUGAUUGAUUGGUUCCUCUUGCAAUCAACUGAUCCGUUGUCGCAUGUAAUUCGAGAGGAGAAAGGUUGAAAGAGGACGGUAUAUACUAGCUGGUUAGUGGCCUUAAUUAAUCGGAUUACAUAUAGAGUUAUGGAGUUAAAUUAAAUACACUAGCAAAACGUGCAGCAACCUCAACAGAGAGGGUGCAUCCAUGAGUCAAACGUGGUGCUACCAUGCAUACCCCCACCUACCUACAUGUAUCAACCUCGCUCACAUGCAUAACUUUUACCUGCCUUUCAUAGUGGGUUAAACAGGACAACAUUCAGCUCCUAACCAUAUUUUGUAUCUUUCUACUUUUUGCUUCUCUCAAAGUACAGAAAGCUACACCGUAUCCUUGUCCAUGAAGCUCAGAUUGAGAAAUCCUAUUUUUUUUAUUUGUAAUUAAGGUUUAUAACGUGUUUUCUUUUUCUAUUGAGAAAAUUUAAGGUGUUGAAAAGAUAAUUAAGUGUUGUAUAACAUUAAUUUAAUUCCCCCAACGUUAAUUUUAUUUUUUUAACCUUAGAUCUAACUUGUGACAAGUAUUUGCCAUUUUGAUAUUUUCAGUAGAGAACAUACAACUUAACGAAAUAUUGUAUUAAUGUAAUAAUUAUAUUCUAAAUUUUAGUGUUAGUUUCAAGUUUUAACAAGGUAAUUAAACACAUUAUAUGCUCCACCGCAUCAAACAUCCUUGAUCAAGCACAGCAACAUUACUCUGGGAGCUCAUACCAAGAUCAUCAUACGCUCAUAUAAUUAAGAUCAUAAUUAUAAUUAUGGAUCAUCGUGAUCAUAAUUAAGAUCCCACAACUGAAGUUCAAUAACAUAAUUACAUAAGCUCAUAUAACAUUUUUACUGUUUAAUUUAUGAUCGUCUGGGCUUGACUUGACCUACUUGUAUUAUGUCUACACGUACUAUGUACAAACUUCAAGGACCUCGAUUUUGUGGAAGUAUUUCUUUCAUAUACGUAACAAUAACAAUAUUUAACCUCUGCACACAUCAUGGCCCAUAUUCAUGCAUGGAGUAUUUCUUCACAUGCAUAACAGUAGUAGAGAUCUACUUCUACUACAUAUCCUAUUCAUCAUAUCAGGUGCAAGCACAUCAUCUCCUCUUCGUGUAUACAUAGCUAGGUACUAUCUUAAUUAGGUUUAAUUGCUGAAGUUAAUUAUCAAUGUUUGGAUCAAGUCUAAGCUUACAUAAAAAAAAAAUUAAAGGGAUUAAUUAAGAGGGUGUUUGCUAGAGAUAGAACACUUUAAUCUUAAAACAACAAGGUCCUUGGUUGUCUAUGAGAUAGGAUCUAAAGGAACAAAAAAAACCAAUCAAUAGUUCUUACAGUAUAGUGAUACUGAUACAUAUACAUCAACUUAAACGUACAGGCAUUCCAUGUAAGUACAACACUCACAAGAACAACAUAUAUAACACAAAUUAGCACGUAUUUAUAGUCGUAACAAACCAGUCUGAUUUUCUAUAUAUAGAAAUCUUCUGCUGCAGGAUCAAGCUAGAUCAUCACUAUUUAACGCACCAUCUUUCUCACCGAAAGCUGCCAUUGAAGAUGUGACUUCAGCUUCCCAAAUACUGCCAUGAUGG